UUCAGACCUUGGUGAGUGGCGGACGGGUGAGUAACACGUGGGUAACCUGCCCAGAAGUGGGGGAUAACAUUUGGAAACAAGUGCUAAUACCGCAUAACAACAUUUAUCUCAUGAUUUAUGUUUAAAAGAUGGUUCUGCUAUCUCUUCUGGAUGGACCCGCGGCGUAUUAGCUAGUUGGUGAGGUAAUAGCUCACCAAGGCGAUGAUACGUAGCCGACCUGAGAGGGUAAUCGGCCACAUUGGGACUGAGACACGGCCCAAACUCCUACGGGAGGCAGCAGUAGGGAAUCUUCCACAAUGGACGAAAGUCUGAUGGAGCAACGCCGCGUGAGUGAAGAAGGUUUUCGGAUCGUAAAACUCUGUUGUUGAAGAAGAACAUAUGUGAGAGUAACUGUUCACGUACUGACGGUAUUCAACCAGAAAGCCACGGCUAACUACGUGCCAGCAGCCGCGGUAAUACGUAGGUGGCAAGCGUUGUCCGGAUUUAUUGGGCGUAAAGAGAAU
rnacentral:rRNA from 1 species